rnacentral:rRNA from 1 species
GACGAACGCUGGCGGCGUGCUUAACACAUGCAAGUCGAGCGGUAAGGCCCUUUCGGGGGUACACGAGCGGCGAACGGGUGAGUAACACGUGGGUGACCUGCCUCUAGCUCUGGGAUAAGCCUGGGAAGCUGGGUCUAAUACCGGAUAUGACCUCGCGGUGCAUGUUGCGGGGUGGAAAGCCUUGUGCGGCUAGGGGAUGGGCCCGCGGCCUAUCAGCUUGUUGGUGGGGUGAUGGCCUACCAAGGCGACGACGGGUAGCCGGCCUGAGAGGGCGACCGGCCACACUGGGACUGAGACACGGCCCAGACUCCUACGGGAGGCAGCAGUGGGGAAUCUUGCGCAAUGGGCGAAAGCCUGACGCAGCGACGCCGCGUGAGGGAUGACG